ensembl:lncRNA TCP10L3 t-complex 10 like 3 (pseudogene)
CUGCUCUCUGGUCUCUGGAGAUGAGGCGGGAGGACUUGGGGACAGCUGUGGGGACACGGCCCAGAUGCUCUGGUCCCAGCAGAAGUGACUGGCGGGGACCAGGCAUUGGAACCUGCUUUUGGAAAAAUUUCACAUCUGUCAGCUGAUGAAGACACAACGCCCAAAUACGCUGGCCGCAAGAGUCAGAGUGCCACUCUCCUGGGACAAAGAUGGUCAUCUAACCACUUAGCUCCUCCAAAGCCAAUGAGUUUAAAGACAGAAAGAAUUAACUCGGGGAAAACACCACCACAGGAAGAUAGAGAGAAAAGUCCUCCCGGGAGACGUCAAGACAGAAGUCCAGCACCCACUGGAAGGCCGACUCCCGGUGCAGAAAGACGGGGGGUGUCUGAAGACGGAAAGAUUAUGCAUCCAUCUUCCCGAAGUCCGCAAAACUCCGGUGGCAGAAAAUCACCAGUGCAGGCUUCCCAGGCCACCACGCUGCAGGAGCAGACGGCAGCAGCCAGAGGAGCUGACAGAAGCUCAUCAGUCUUAGGGAGUUCUGAAGGCGGAUUUCUCAGCCGCGUUCAAGCUGACGAGUUCGCCAGUUCUGCCCCAGACAGUGCAGAGCGGCAGGAAAUUUGGGCUGUGAACUUACGUAUGAUGUAAAACUAGGCACCUGGCGGGGAAGUCUCAGAACACAGGUCCCGCUUGUUUUCUGUUCUCCUGCGAAAAGCCCACAUUCUGUUCUGCCCUCUCCGACGUCUUCAGUGGGGGGACGAGUGGGAAUAUUUUUCUUGGGAUUUUAUUUUGUUUGGGGAUCCAGCUAAUGAGUUCACCUGGAAGCCUCCGGGCUAAUGAUCUACAUUGAGAAGCAGUGCAGCAGCCAUGGCAGGUGGUGUCUCUGUGUGGUGUUUGUAUCAGGUGUUAAAUGUGGCAGUUGUCAUUGUGGCCACCCUGACUCCAGACCAAACAUACAAGUGGGAGAUAAGCACUUUAAUAAAACACAAAACAUGGUCCAAAGUCCCGGUGCUGACUGUCCGGGGCUCAGCCGCGCCCACUGACUUAGAGGCAGAGGCUGCAAAAUGCCAGGGCAAGGUGCAUUUCUCCCACCUCAUACUGCAGUGUUCAUGGAGACCACGGGAGAUUAGGAUUAUGCUCUUUCUGCAGAAUCUUCCUGUAAACCCACCAUCUUCCCUGGAAAUAGCACAGGCCAUGGACACUAAGAUGAAAAAGGAGGAAGUACAGGAAGAAAAACGACAUCCAAAGGGCAAGGCAGAUGACUGCCGGCGGUCCGGUUUCCCGAGUGAAUUUCCAGGAGCUCUGCACGCCGCUCCCUCCAGACAGGACAUGGGGCCCUGACCUGGAGGCCAGGCGUUUCUAGCAUUGUUGACUGCCAGUUUAUUCCCAGUAAAUAAAGCAAUACGCUUUUCAGGAGGAAGAUUUGUUUUAAAUACUUAAAAAAAAACCCAAAACUAUAGCCUCAAAUAUCUUCCAGCCACCACAUUUUAGCCCUUGAGGAGAGCUCAGUUCCGGAAGGACGCGUCAAGGUGGCGGUGGUCG